rfam:Chlorocebus sabaeus isolate 1994-021 chromosome 25, whole genome shotgun sequence.
GUUCAGCUUGUCAAAGAUUUACUGCAUUUUACCCUCCCUAAUGGGGCUCAGUGUGCAGUGGCUGGAAAAAGUAGAUUCCCGGGUUAUGUAUGCAGCUCAAUUGUUAUACGUGUUGCUUUAAGGGACCUUGAAGACUUUU